rnacentral:rRNA from 1 species
AGAGUUUGAUCCUGGCUCAGGAUGAACGCUGGCGGCGUGCCUAAUACAUGCAAGUCGAACGCGGGCACUUGUGCCCGAGUGGCGAACGGGUGAGUAAUACAUAAGUAACCUGGCCUUUACAGGGGGAUAACUGCUGGAAACGGCAGCUAAGACCGCAUAGGUAGGGACACUGCAUGGUGACCGUAUUAAAAGUGCUGCAAGGCACUGGUAGAGGAUGGACUUAUGGCGCAUUAGCUGGUUGGUGAGGUAACGGCUCACCAAGGCGACGAUGCGUAGCCGACCUGAGAGGGUGACCGGCCACACUGGGACUGAGACACGGCCCAGACUCCUACGGGAGGCAGCAGUAGGGAAUUUUCGGCAAUGGGGGGAACCCUGACCGAGCAACGCCGCGUGAAGGAAGAAGGAAUUCGUUCUGUAAACUUCUGUUAUAAAGGAAGAAAGACGGAUGGAGGAAAUGACAUCCGAGUGACGGUACUUUAUGAGAAAGCCACGGCUAACUACGUG